UACAGAGGGGGCAAGCGUUGUUCGGAAUUACUGGGCGUAAAGGGCGCGUAGGCGCCUGUUAAGUCGAACGUGAAAUCCCCGGGCUCAACCCGGGAACUGCGUCCGAUACUGGCAGGCUUGAAUCCGGGAGAGGGAUGCGGAAUUCCAGGUGUAGCGGUGAAAUGCGUAGAUAUCUGGAGGAACACCGGUGGCGAAGGCGGCAUCCCUGGACCGG
rnacentral:rRNA from 1 species